AUACGGAGGGUGCGAGCGUUAAUCGGAAUUACUGGGCGUAAAGCGUACGUAGGCGGUUUGCUAAGUCAGAUAUGAAAGCCCCGGGCUUAACCUGGGAACUGCAUUUGAUACUGGCAGACUAGAGUAUGAUAGAGGGGGGUAGAAUUCCUGGUGUAGCGGUGAAAUGCGUAGAUAUCAGGAGGAAUACCAGUGGCGAAGGCGGCCCCCAGGAUCAAUACUGACGCUGAGGUACGAAAGCGUGGGGAGCGAACAGGAUUAGAAACCCUAGUAGUCC
rnacentral:rRNA from 1 species